CAGCCGCCGCGGGAAUACAGAGGGUGCGAGCGUUAAUCGGAUUUACUGGGCGUAAAGCGUGCGUAGGCGGCUUUUUAAGUCGGAUGUGAAAUCCCUGAGCUUAACUUAGGAAUUGCAUCCGAUACUGGGAAGCUAGAGUAUGGGAGAGGAUGGUAGAAUUCCAGGUGUAGCGGUGAAAUGCGUAGAGAUCUGGAGGAAUACCGAUGGCGAAGGCAGCCAUCUGGCCUAAUACUGACGCUGAGGUACGAAAGCAUGGGGAGCAAACAGGAUUAGAUACCCGCGUAGUCCCUGUCUCUUAUAC
rnacentral:rRNA from 1 species